ensembl:lncRNA
UGAGAAGAAAUAUAUAUGUUUUAAUGAAAUAUAUUUUGGAUACAAAUAAUGGAAAAUGUUUUAGUCACGAAAAGAAUAUCCCUCUAUACGGGAGGGUAAAAUAAUGUCCCUCUAUACGGGAGGGUAAAAUAAUGUCCCUCUAUACGGGAGGGUAAAAUAAUAUCCCUCUAUACGGGAGGGUAAAAUAAUAUCCCUCUAUAAGGGAGGGUAAAAUAAUAUCCCUCUAUACGGGAGGGUAAAAUAAUGUCCCUCUGUACGGGAGGGUAAAAUAAUGUCCCUCUAUACGGGAGGGUAAAAUAAUGUCCCUCUGUACGGGAGGGUAAAAUAAUAUCCCUCUAUACGGGAGGGUAAAAUAAUGUCCCUCUGUACGGGAGGGUAAAAUAAUGUCCCUCUGUACGGGAGGGUAAAAUAAUAUCCCUCUAUACGGGAGGGUAAAAUAAUGUCCCUCUAUACGGGAGGGUAAAAUAAUGUCCCUCUAUACGGGAGGGUAAAAUAAUGUCCCUCUAUAUGGGAGGGUAAAAUAAUAUCCCUCUAUACGGGAGGGUAAAAUAAUGUCCCUCUAUACGGGAGGGUAAAAUAAUGUCCCUCUAUACAGGAGGGUAAAAUAAUGUCCCUCUAUACAGGAGGGUAAAAUAAUGUCCCUCUAUACAGGAAGGUAAAAUAAUAUCCCUCUAUACGGGAGGGUAAAAUAAUGUCCCUCUAUACGGGAGGGUAAAAUAAUGUCCCUCUAUACAGGAGGGUAA